UCUGAAAGGGAUGGAAGUGGGAAUGUCAACAAUAUAAUCAUCCUUGGCGAAACUGCCGGUGUGAGACCUUCUGUUUAACAACCGCAAAAUGUUCUUUUCACUUUACUCCUCUUGAUCAUGGAGGGAGAAACAUCGUGGUUUAGCCAUUCCUUUGACAACAUGGCAAGGCAGACUCCAGAGUAUGAUUCAUUCUCACAACUCAGAAGGUAAGUAUGAUUCAUUCUCAGAGAUCAUUGAUGGAGGAAAUAGAGAAGGGUAAUUAAAUUUUUUCUGGCCUUCGUACUUUAGGUUUAUGUCCCAUGCAAUUGUGCGUUAUCACUUGCCUCUUGCAAUAUUAGCUAGGUUGAUCUCGUAGGUGAAUUAACUCCGUUUCUUUCUGUUUCAGUUUACAUUGUUGCGAUUCUUUUCUUUUAAUUGGAGAAAAUUCUAUGAAAUA